CCACAGGGCACUCCCCAGUGAAACGAUGAAACUGUCCUCUGCUGCAGGGCAGGAGUCUCCAGGUCACCCCCAUCCCUCCCCACCUGCCUGGACCCUGAAGAAGCCUUCUGAGUCUGUGGCUCAAUGUGCGAUGUGCAGUGCCAGGGCCUGCCCCGUAGACUGCAUGGCCGCUGCCCCACAAGGCCUGUCUCCACAGGAAUGGGAAGCGAACAGGGAGACGGGCAACAGCUCACAUGCUGGGACAACGCAAUGUUCAAUCCAUUGUCCACCCAGCAGCUCCAGACAUCUUUCCGGAACACAAAACUGACCCCAUCACCUCUCUGCUUAGCCACUGGCUUAAACUGCGAAUGGUUUCCCUGCA
rnacentral:antisense_RNA from 1 species